CUCUCACCCGGGAGGGGCACGGGGGAAGGGGCCGUGGGCCUCUCGGUUAACGAGCUUCGGGGGUUGCGGCGGGUUAGUGACAGGCGCGCUUGGCAAUCGCCUGUGCCGCUUUGCUUGGGAGCACUCGAACUGGCGCCCGGAAGACGUGAUUUUCAAAGCUAAUUAUGAAAACAUUUGUCAUUGGAAUCGGUGGUGUGACAAAUGGUGGGAAGACAACACUGGCUAAGAAUUUGCAGAAACGCCUUCCAAACUGCAGUAUCAUAUCUCAGGAUAAUUUCUUUAAGCCAGAGUCUGAGAUAGAGACAGAUGAAAAUGGAUUUCUUCAGUAUGAUGUGCUUGAAGCACUUAACAUGGAGGAAAUGAUGUCCGCCAUUUCCUGCUGGAUGGAAAGCGCAGCACACCCUCUGGCAUCAACAGACAGGGGAAACACUGAGGAAAUUCCCAUCUUAAUUAUCGAAGGUUUCCUUCUCUAUAAUUACAAGCCCCUUGACACUAUAUGGAAUAGAAGCUAUUUUCUGACCAUUCCGUAUGAAGAAUGUAAGAGGAGGAGGAGUACAAGGAUCUACGAGCCUCCAGACACCCCAGGGUACUUUGAGGGCCAUGUGUGGCCCAUGUAUCUAAAGCACAGAAAAGAAAUGGAGAACAUCUCAUGGGAAAUCGUUUACCUAGAUGGAACAAAAUCUGAAGAGGACCUCUUUUCACAAGUGUAUGAAGACCUAAUACAAGAACUAGCAAAGCAAAAGUGUCUACAAGUGACAGCGUAAAGUUGGAAUGCACUGAAUCCUUCCUGGAGUGAAUUAGGAAAUUCAAAGGAAUCUAUGCAAGAACCUUAACCAAGAUACAAUGUGUACUUUGCAACUUGAAAGUGUUAUGGAAAAGCCAGGGUCUUUCAUCCUUGGCUGCGGAGCUACCCCAGGAGGUCACAGGAAGGCAGCAGAAGCUCCCCGCACAGUGUCAACUAUAAAGGCAGGAAGCUGGGUAGAGGAUGCACAGCCAGCCGCAGGCCUUCCAGAGUCACCCAGCAGUGACCCCAACAGCCAGAACUACCUCCAUGGCCACUUCUCACUGCAAGAGAGGCUGGGAAGAGGCGUUCUGAGAGGUUUGAGCUCAUUGUGUUUCAUUGUCUGGGGAUGUUGCCACGGGGAAGAAAAAGCUUUUACUAAGGAAGGAGGAGGAAAUAGAUCUAUCAUCUGUAAGUCUGAAGGUUAUAUUGGAGGACUUUCUUAAAACUUCAAAGUGACCAUGAUGAAAACAUCCAACAGGGAAGAAAUUUCCAACAGUGACGAUGCUUCUGUAAAAAUGUCAACAAAAUAGGAGGCUGACAGAGGAGACCUGGAAUCUGUAGCAACUCAACUCAAGACUCCAUAUUCAACACACUUCUUGAACUUAUCUUUCAAGCAAAGCCCUAUAAGGGAUGGCUUCACCUAGUCCUCAGACUCGGAUCCAUCUUCAUCUUGAC